rnacentral:rRNA from 1 species
AUUGAACGCUGGCGGCAGGCCUAACACAUGCAAGUCGAACGAGUGGCGGACGGGUGCGUAAUGUCUGGGAAACUGGCCGAUGGAGGGGGAUAACUACUCGAAACGGUAGCUAAUAACGCAUAUCAUUGGAUGAGCCCAUAUAGGAUUAGCUAGUUGGUGGGGUAAAGGCGCACCAAGGCGCCGAUCCCUAGCGGGUCUGAGAGGAUGACGAGUCACACUGGAACUGAGACACGGGCCAGACUCCUACGUGGCGCUGCAGUGGGGAAUAGUGGCCGAUGGGCCCGAGCCUAAUACAGCCAUGCCGCGUUACUGAAGAAGGCCUUCGGGUUGUAAAGGACUGUCGUCAGGGAAGCGUUACUUGCAGAAGAAGCACCGGCUAACUCCGUGCCAGCAGCCGCGGUAAGUC